rnacentral:snoRNA from 1 species
AUCAUAUGAUUUGAAUAAACAAACUGAUGCUCACUGAGGCAAGACAACUUUUUAGCAUGUUAGAGUUACAUGUA